rnacentral:rRNA from 1 species
UGAGGAAUAUUGCACAAUGGGGGCAACCCUGACGCAGCAACGCCGCGUGAGUGAUGAAGGCCUUCGGGUCGUAAAGCUCUGUCGGAGGGAACGAAUGCUCCUGAAGUUAACAGCCUCAGGAGGUGACGGUACCCUCAAAGGAAGCACCGGCUAACUCUGUGCCAGCAGCCGCGGUAAUACGUAGGUGGCAAGCGUUGUCCGGAUUUAUUGGGUUUAAAGGGUGCGUAGGUGGCCCUGUAAGUCAGUGGUGAAAUAUCUCAGCUUAACUGAGAGGGUGCCAUUGAUACUGCAGGGCUUGAGUACAGAUGAGGUAGGCGGAAUUGACGGUGUAGCGGUGAAAUGCAUAGAUAUCGUCAAGAACACCGAUAGCGAAGGCAGCUUACCAAGCUGUAACUGACACUGAGGCACGAAAGUGUGGGGAUCAAACAGGAUUAGAUACCCGCGUAGUCCCUGAGCGGGCUGGCAAGGCGCAU